AUGAAUUGCAGUUGUGGUUGGCCUUGGCUUCUUGAUAAGAUAUGCAUUUUAGUAUCUCUUUUAGCUUUACAGAUUGACCCUUUUAAUAAGAGGCAACUCACCCUUUCCCCUGCCUCAGCACAAGUGACUGAUUCCUUUAACUUCCCAUCUUCCAGGAUCUGCCUUGGAGACAAGUCCCAGAAAGGUGGCCAGCUGAUCCAAAGUCUCCUGAUCAAUUCAAUGAUGGUCCAUCUAUCUCAUGCUGUUUGGAUUCUGAGGAGGAUAGAGAAAAGGCUCCCCCAAGAAGGAAAGGCAUGGGUUUGGGCACAAAAACAACAGCCGCAACAGCAGCAACAACAACUCAUCAGCUCAUGUCUUCUUGGCUUUUGGUAAGGAGACUAACAGAAAUAUGCCCUCCCAAGCACAGUGAAGAAAAAAAAAAGUUCUUCUCUAGACCUUCCCAGAGGGAUAACGUUUCUGUUAAGAAUUUUGGAAGAAUGGGUAGGACCCAGCAGAAGGGGAGGUGAGAGCAGAGAGAAAAGACAUCCAAGUCAAGGCAACACUGUGUAAAAUGCAGCCAUUCAGGAACUGAGAACAGUUCAUUGUGGAUAAAGCCUGGGGUGUCGGGCCAGGAAAUUUCCUGGUUUGUUAAGGAAUUUGGAUUUCACAAUGUAAAUUAUGGAGUCCAUUUGAAAUAGAUAAUUGAUAUGAAUAGGCUGCAGUUUUGAAGAAUCAGUCUUGGAGUUAGAGGAUAGAUAUGGGCAGAUGUGAUCAGAAGCAGGGAUGAGAGCCAGCAAUAUUCCAAGUGAGAAAAGCAGGAGAGUUGAGCUUAUGCAGGAGCAGUGAGAACAGAAUAAAAAUUGUCAUAAUCUACUGGAAGUGAGAAUUGAGAGAUAAGGAGGAGUUCUUCAUAUUGUACCAAGAAAAAUCUUUGCAAAAAGUAGUUAUGAUAAUCCACUCACCUUGCUUAAAAUGCCUUCAUUGCUUUCAUGUUCUUCUUAGACAAAAAGAUAAAAUUCCUUAUCUAUUUACUUUUGCAUCUCUAGUAUUUAUUAUACAAUAGACACUAAAGAAGUACAAAUAUUCUGCAUCCCAUCUCCUCCCUCUCCUAUGAGUAUGUGCCAUUUAAAUUGAUCUAUUUUGCC
rnacentral:lncRNA from 1 species